UCAUCUCAAAAUGCAAAACAAAAUUUUCAUUUCAUUUUCUAAAUUUUGUUAAAAUGUUUGAAGAUUUGGAUCCCGGGUGGCAGUUAGAAUCACCCUGGGAAUGCUUAUUUUCUCAUGAAAAUGGGUGGUACGGGAAAAGAGACCUUGAAGAGGGAUGUUCUGCAGUUCAGUUAGAACUGUCUAUGAACUUAGGCCUCUCAAUUGCAUUCCAACCAUUUUCUUCCCUAUGUCACGGUCUUGCAAUUGAGCUGCUAGUGAUAACUUUUCUCUUCAAAUCCACAACCUAAUUCGCAUCAACUUUAGGUUGCGGUGAUCUUGGAGAAGGAGUGCUCCAGAAAAUUUCAGGAUUUGAGUGAAGAAUUCUUGCGGUGUAAAUGUGAGAAUACCUGAAUAUUGGAUGGAUUACUCUGUCUCUUUUGAGCUUUCCAUGUGAAUUGACUGAUUGGGAAGAAGAUGAUCAAUAAAAUGAACUUCUUCUUCUUCACUUUAUUAAGUUGGUUCCCUCCUCAAGUUAAUUCACAAACUGGAAGAUUUCGAAGCUUCUCAAGGAUCAAAGAACGUGCAGUUUCCAUGAUGCAUGAAAGAGUUGAUGUUGAAUCUUUCCAUCAUGAAUGUAUAAAUUACAAGAUGUUAGACAAAUGUAGUUAAUUAACAAUGUCAAUUACUUAUUUUUCUACUAUGUAAGACAAAUGUAGUCAAUUAACAAUGUCAAUUACUUACUUUUCUACUUUGUAAGUGAUGGAGACACGAAUGUUUUAGAAUUAUAUGGAAUUUACUUGGAAAUUAAGUUUAGUUUAAUUCUCAAUGAUCUUAUUAUCAAAUAUGGUUAGUUCAAUUAGGAAGCUACUCGUACACAAUGUAACAG